UGUCUGGAAGAGAGAAAAGUCUAGCUUAGAGACGGAUCAGGCAUAAAAUUUCUCAAUACGGUUGCUACUGACAAUUAUUUUAGUAAUCGAUUACACUGAAGAUUAAUCAAAUAUAAAAAUUUGGCACAUUCUGAAAUUUUAUCAUUUAACCACUUAAACUUAUUUUGUUUAAGUGGUUAACUUAAACAAAUUAACUUAGUUAUACAACUAAGUUAAUUCAGAUCUGACUGAAAUGCAAUAACAUUUUUUUAUUGAACGCUUUAUAAUUUGCAGCAAAGGAUCCAUCUACAAAUAAAAAAUACCUCUAACAUUAAUGUGUGAAAAGCGCAGCUCUUUCUGCUUGAUUCAACAUCAACAGUGUAGAGCUGAUCUGGUGAUUUCUUUAACAAUUGGGUAGCAAAAAGUGCUUAAGAGAUAAGAGAUAUAUUUUUUUUUUACCAAAUUAUCAGUAAAAAAAAAUCCCCUGAUAAUUCAGUUUGUUUGUUUUUUACUGAAUUAUUAUUUUACUGAAUUAUUUGGAUAAGUCAGUAAAAAUUAUCUACUGAAGUAGAUAAAUAUGUGAAAAUAAAUAUGUCCUACCAGUUGCAAUUUUCUGGCCUAUCAUCAAUAUUUAAAAAGCACCGAUUUGUUUCUGUUUUAAAUAUAGCAGAAAAGUUGCCAAGUUGGCAACAGUAGGCUGAGUAUUGUGAAACGUAGCCCUCUCUCAAACCCUUGAGAUUGAAGAAAACAUCAGUGGAUAAGUUUGGGUUCACAUGUAAGUAUUGACCAAUCAUCAAUGACCCAAAAUUAAAGAAAUGGGGCUGAUCAAUGUGGACACCCCUAAAAAUCUCCCCCAUCUCCCCCUCCAAGGCCAAGUCCCUAGAGGAAACUGAAGAGCACAUGGAUCACUCUUCUGAAGUGUUUGUGAUAUUUGGUCAGGUUUAAUGAAUUGUUGCUUUUGAUUAAGAAUUGCUGAAUGGUUGAGAGGAAAGCACAGAACCUAAUGAUGUUUGUUUAUACAUGAUGAAUACUUUGUGUUGUACCAAACGUAAAAAAAAAAAAAAAAAAAAAGUUCUGCUGGACCAAAUUCAGAGGACUGCAAAUGGUGCCCCAAGAUUGCUAUUUGGAGAUCCAUUUGCCAUAUUGCAAGACAUUUUUAAUAUAUUUUUUUUCUGCUU